UGUAGCCGUGUCCGAUUCACUGCCUGUUCUACCACAGAAGCACUGGCCCAGAGGCUGCCAUAGAAACUGUCAUCCGUGGGCCCCGUUUCCUGUGCUUGGUCAGGCUCUACUCACAGACAUCA
ensembl:snoRNA LOC120100358 small nucleolar RNA SNORA5